AGUCACUGACAUUAGAUACCCGGGUAGUCCAGGGUGUAAACGCUGCAGACUUGGUGUUGGAAGUCCUUUGGGGGCAUUCAGUGCCGGAGAGAAGUUGUUAAGUCUGCUACUUGGGAGUACGUCCGCAAGGAUGAAACUUAAAGGAAUUGGCGGGGGAGCACCGCAACGGGAGGAGCGUGCGGUUUAAUUGGAUUCAACACCGUAAACUCACCAGGGAAGACUGUUACAUGAAAGCCGAGAUGAAGACUCUGCUAGAUUUUCAG
rnacentral:rRNA from 1 species